AAGCCGGCGACCGUUCUGCCUCCCGUGGGAGAGGAGGAGCCCAAAAGUCCUGUGCUGGUGGAUGGGGGGAAGGAAUUAUAAGAGCUGGAGAAACAACAUCUUCUGGAAGGCAAGACAAGACAGUAUACAAUCCCCUACAGAGGAGUACCAGUGCUCCGGGGUCCUCGAGACCGACUUCGCCGAGCUCUGCACGCGGUGGGGCUACACGGACUUCCCCAAAGUUGUCAACCGGCCCCGCCCACACCCGCCAUUCGUCCCCUCCGCCUCUAUGUCGGAAAAGGCCACCUUAGACGAUCCGCGGCUGUCGGGGUCCUGCAGCCUCAACAGCCUGGAGAGCAAAUACGUGUUCUUCCGGCCCACCAUCCAGGUGGAGCUGGAGCAGGAGGACAGCAAGUCAGUGAAGGAAAUCUACAUCCGCGGUUGGAAGGUUGAGGAACGGAUUCUGGGUAUCUUCUCUAAAUGUCUGCCCCCGCUCACCCAGCUACAGGCCAUCAACUUGUGGAAGGUGGGGCUGACGGAUAAGACCCUGACCACCUUCGUCGAGCUACUGCCUCUCUGUUCAUCCACGCUCAGUCUCCCCUGCCCUCAGGAAGGUGUCUCUGGAGGGGAACCCACUGCCGGAGCAGUCCUAUCACAAGCUCAUGGCCUUGGACAGCACGAUUGCGCACUUGUCUCUGCGGAACAAUAACAUCGACGACCGCGGGGCGCAACUCCUGGGCCAGGCGCUGUCCACGCUGCACAGCUGCAACCGGACCCUCGUCUCGCUCAACCUGGGCUUCAACCACAUCGGGGACGAGGGCGCAGGCUAUAUAGCGGACGUGCGUGCGCGGCGGGGAGGGACCUGCUGGGAGCAGGGGCGGCUUGGGCGGCUCACGCGUCCCUGCCCGCUCUUAGGGCCUCCGGCUGAACCGUUCCCUGCUCUGGCUGUCCCUGGCCCACAACCGCAUCCAGGACAAGGGCGCCCUGAAGCUGGCUGAGGUCCUGCGCGCCUUCGAGCUGACACACACCGAAGUGGUGGAGCGCCGACGCCUCCUGCUGGAAAAAGGGACGCAGGAGCGCUCGCGAUCGCCCUCCUCCUCUCGACAUGGGGACUCCAAAACGGACCGUGAGAAGAGUCAGAUGGUAGGGAUCAGCAAUAGUACAUUGGUGGACAAGACAGACAAGACGCAGACAAUGAAAACCCCUAAGGGCCUGGGCAAGAAAAAGGAGAAAUCAUGGGAAUUGGCCAAGAAAGAGGAGAAGUCGGGGUCUGGGCAGUCACCCACACAAGGAACCCCUAAGAAAGAAGACGCCACAAAGGCAGGCAAGGGGAAGGUAACCAUCCCUGAGCAGAAGCCAAGCAGGGCAAAAGGGAUCAAGAUCGGGAGCAGAGAGAAGCGCAGCAUCCUCCUGGAGUCUGAGCAGCUGGUUGUUGAGGCUACUGAGGUGGUCAACCCUCUCCUGGAGCCUGUGGAGCACCGAGAUGGGAAAGUUUUCAUGCCUGGGAACAAGGUCCUUUUGCACCUCAACCUCAUCCGGAACCGCAUCACAGAGGUGGGGCUGGAGGGCUUCCUCGCCACAGUGCAGUAUCAGAUGCAGUUCUCCAAAGCCAAGAGUGCAUCCAAGGGUCCAGUGGGGCUGCUGUGGCUGUCCCUGGCUGUGAGUCCUUUUCAUUCUCUCCUGCUGAAGCAGAUGUUGCCCCUAUCAGUUGUCAUACUAGACAGCUGCUUCUGUCUCCCCAUUUCCAAGGAAGAAAAAUUGCUUCGCCCCACAAUGUCCUGCGUAUGCCAUAAUCCAGGAGCUGAUGCUGCCAAGGGAUCCCAUCAAGGCCAAACUCAGGGAGGAUGAGGCCAUGGCAUUCUUCCCCUAGCCCUGUCCCACCUGCUUGCCUCUAAGACUCGGGGCUACAGAAGCACCUCCUGUCCCUGUGUGGGGUGACCUCCCUGGGGGAGAUCUCAGACCAAUAACAAAGUCUGUUGCUAUACUUUU
rnacentral:sRNA from 1 species